ACCCUAUGAAUUUAUAAAUUUUAUUUAAUAUGUAACUACUAUUAAAAAAAAUUUUGGCUGGGGCGGCAGAAAAAUAUUUAAAACUUUUUUAAAAUAAAAUGACCCAUUAUUAAUGAUUAUAUGUUAAAUA
rnacentral:rRNA from 1 species